CAGGGAGACCCCCGAACACCCUCUGGUGAGGCAGAGGCUCCUGCUGGGAUUGGGGAUGAGGGCGCCAGCCAGCAAGGGCUGGAGAGGCCGAGAAGUGACAGAAGUUACUGUCCCCACCCCAAUGCAGAGCUGAGAGAGACAGACAAUCACUCAGAAAUCUGGAAGGGCCCUGAGAGGUUAUUCUAUCCAAACUUCUUGCUCUGCAAAUGAGGAAGUGAGGCUCAGAGAGGUGGUUUUUGCAAGGUCACACGGCUCCCAGGCCAGGGCUCUUCCUAUUUGGCCACACCAUCUCCUGGGGGUUAAGGCGUGAGCUCAAAAGAACGCCCUGAGCUGGUUCCUCCUGCAAGGUUCUGAGGAGGACUGGCCAGGCAUGUUGUAAAACGACCCUCAGAUGUGAUCUGUCUGAUGCUUUUCUCCUGGUUAGCCUGGAGUUCUGGGUUUGGGGGAGGAAGACCACAGAGGCAAAGUGCCAUUUUCAUCACGUCACAUUACUGGUAUAUCACAGCACUGGCCAUCGUUAGAAUCCACACAUGUGAAGCCAGCUCCAGAGCCCUCUGAUGAUGGGGCUACAUCCCUUCCCAGCAUCUGCUUGCUUCCACACAUGCAGGUGCCAUCUCUCUCCCAUCUCUCCUGAUUCCAGAUCAUCUGACCCUGAUUCCCCAAAUGUCUGAUGCAAGCCGGCUACCUCGGUGGGAGCUGUCUCAUGGAAAGGUCUAAGUGGCAAGGAACUGAGGGAGACCUCCAGCCCACAGCCCGGGAGGCCCUGCGUCUCGUCAACAGUCAAGUGAGUGAGGUUGGAGCCCGGAGCGUACCUCCGUGGGUGAAGCUGGGAGAGGUGUGCAGCCCCAGCCAGCACCCUGACUGUAGCCUGGCAGAACCUGGGCACAGGGCCCAGC